rnacentral:rRNA from 1 species
GUGCACCAGGCGCGAAACCUCCGCAAUGCGCGAAAGCGCGACGGGGUUACCCCGAGUGCCGUCCGCUGAGGACGGCUUUUGCCCAGUGUAGCCAGCUGGGCGAAUAAGGAGAGGGCAAGUCUGGUGUCAGCCGCCGCGGUAAUACCAGCUCUCCGAGUGGUGGGGACGCUUAUUGGGCCUAAAGCAUCCGUAGCCGGUCUGGCAAGUCCCUUGUUAAAUCCAACGAUUCAAUCGUUGGACUACAAGGGAUACUGCCAGACUAGGGGGCGGGAGAGGCCGACGGUAUUCCCGGGGUAGGGGUGAAAUCCUAUAAUCCCGGGAGGACCACCAGUGGCGAAGGCUGUCGGCUAGAACGCGCCCGACGGUGAGGGAUGAAAGCUGGGGGAGCGAACCGGAUUAGAUACCCCUGUAGU